AGGACGAACGCUGGCGGCGUGCUUAACACAUGCAAGUCACGGGGGCCCGCAAGGGCAACCGGCGAACGGGUGCGUAACACGUGAGCAAUCUGCCGAUCUCUGGGGGAUAGCCAGCCUAACGGCUGGGUAAUACCGCAUACGCUCGUUGGGGGGAGUCCCCCGAUGAGGAAACCUCCGGGGGAGAUCGAGGAGCUCGCGACCUAUCAGCUAGUUGGCGGGGUAACGGCCCACCAAGGCAGCGACGGGUAGCUGGUCUGAGAGGAUGGCCAGCCACAUUGGGACUGCGACACGGCCCAGACUCCUACGGGAGGCAGCAGUGGGGAAUAUUGCGCAAUGGACGAAAGUCUGACGCAGCGACGCCGCGUGUGGGAUGAAGCCUUUCGGGGUGUAAACCACUGUUGCCCGGGACGAAACUCCUCUUUCGAGAGGAUUGACGGUACCGGGUGAGGAAGCACCGGCUAACUCUGCGCCAGCAGCCGCGGUAA
rnacentral:rRNA from 1 species